UACGUAGGGUGCGAGCGUUAAUCGGAAUUACUGGGCGUAAAGCGUGCGCAGGCGGUUUGCUAAGACAGUUGUGAAAUCCCCGGGCUCAACCUGGGAACUGCAUCUGUGACUGCAUCGCUGGAGUGCGGCAGAGGGGGAUGGAAUUCCGCGUGUAAGCAGUGAAAUGCGUAGAUAUGCGGAGGAACACGAUGCGAAGGCAAUCCCCUGGGCCUGCACUGACGCUCAUGCACGAAAGCGUGGGGG
rnacentral:rRNA from 1 species